GUUGGAAUUACAGACUUCAUUCUGAAAUUCUUUUUCAUGGGCUUAAAAUGCCUUAUUUUAUUGGUGCCUUCUUUCAUCAUGCCUUUUAAAUCUAAGGGUUACUGGUAUAUGCUUUUAGAAGAAUUGUGUCAAUACUACCGAACUUUUGUUCCCAUACCAGUUUGGUUUCGCUACCUUAUAAGCUAUGGGGAGUUUGGUAACGUAACUAGAUGGAGUCUUGGGAUACUGCUGGCUUUACUCUACCUCAUAUUAAAACUUUUGGAAUUUUUUGGGCAUCUGAGAACUUUCAGACAGGUUUUACGAAUAUUUUUUACACAACCAAGUUAUGGAGUGGCUGCCAGCAAGAGACAGUGUUCAGAUGUGGAUGAUAUUUGUUCAAUAUGUCAAGCUGAAUUUCAGAAGCCAAUUCUUCUCAUUUGUCAGCAUAUAUUUUGUGAAGAGUGCAUGACCUUAUGGUUUAACAGAGAGAAAACAUGUCCACUCUGCAGAACUGUGAUUUCAGACCAUAUAAACAAAUGGAAGGAUGGAGCCACUUCAUCACACCUUCAAAUAUAUUAAGUUGUAUAAACUAUCAAGGCCACAAAAUACUAAUGUCAUUUGGUCAUAAUGACUACUGAUAAGGCAUCAGAAUGGAUUUUCAGGGCUACCAGAAAAAUGUUUCCAGAUGGUUUUAGAAUGUAGGACUUAUGAUCCAAUUCACCAAAAGAUUAAAUGAAACCACCCUGUGUUUUAAAAUAUAUAUAAUGUUCAACCUAAUGUAUAUGCAACAUUUAUUCUAUUCUAAUUAUUUGACAGGUAACUGCAGUGUUAAAUUGUAAAUGUGUUUUCUUUAUGUUACCAAAACAGCAAUUUGAAAUUAGAACUAGUGGUUUUAGAGAACUCAGGUAUUCUUUCCUGACAUUGUUUUCAGAAUAAAGAAUAUUUUUCAUAAUAUUUUAAGAUACAUACUAUCUAAAAGUAGAAUUUUGUUCAGCAUUGACUUUUAUAAUUCCCAUCCUAAAAAUUCUUAAUAUUUUCAUAAAAUUUGUAUUUUUAAAUGAAAAUUCUAAAUGUUGUAUUUUAUCAGUAACAUUUUCUAAGUGAAGAUUAAUUUACUGAGGAUGAUACAUUAUAGUAUUGUAUUAUUCUCUGUAGUAAGAUUAGUAAUAAGUGAAAAUAAAUGAUUUAAAUUCAUUUUGUCUCUGGACGUCAUAAAUUCUUCCUGCCAUCAGCUUUAAUGUUCAUGAUCAUGCUUUUUGUAUAGUACCAUGGAGUAUCUCGAAGUAACUAUUAAAAUAAUUCAUGUGGA
rnacentral:lncRNA from 1 species